UGCGAAGGGGGCUAGCGUUGCUCGGAAUCACUGGGCGUAAAGCGCACGUAGGCGGAUUGUUAAGUCGGGGGUGAAAUCCUGGAGCUCAACUCCAGAACUGCCUUCGAUACUGGCGAUCUUGAGUCCGGGAGAGGUGAGUGGAACUCCGAGUGUAGAGGUGAAAUUCGUAGAUAUUCGGAAGAACACCAGUGGCGAAGGCGGCUCACUGGCCCGGUACUGACGCUGAGGUGCGAAAGCGUGGGGAGCAAACAGG
rnacentral:rRNA from 1 species